rnacentral:ncRNA from 1 species
GGUAAGUAUGGUCAGGCUCCUCGUGUGUUUCGUUACGGCUCUUCGUGCGUUUGGGUGCCCAUGUUGCGAAGUCGCCUUGCGUUGCGUUUGGGCGUCCAUCUUGCGAACUCACCUUGCGUUGCGUUCGGGCUGAAACUUAAAGGAAUUGACGGAAGGGCACCACCAGGAGUGGAACCUGCGGCUUAAUUUGACUCAACACGGGAAAACUUACCAGGUCCAGACAUAGUAAGGAUUGACAGAUUGAGAGUUGGUGGUAAGUAAGGGGGCAGAUUUUCGCUCUUAAGAAUUAAAUCAGUUAAGGUUUCACUCAUGUAUGCCCUCCCUGAGCUCUUUUAGGUGAUAAGAGUAGGAACACCAUAUGGAGUCCAUUAGGAGAUGUGAGUAUGGGCUUUUAGCUCUAUGGAGUCCCUCUUGAGAUGUGAGUAGGGUUGUUCACCUAUGGGGUCCCUAUAUCGGCUUUAGGAGGCGCAAAGUUGUUUAUUACAACCUUUCCCUUGUCCCAUGCCAUCAACACUCGUCAUGAAGUCAGGAACCUCAAAUUCCCCACUCUUUAGCUGUUUAUUACAACCUUUUGACCGCUUCAACGUAGGUCAAGGCUUCAGGGACCUAUCAAGCCGUCAGUGGUCCCUCAGGAAUAAAUCAGUCAAGGUGUCCCUCAACUCAGUCUCAGCAUCAGUUGGUGUCCCCUCACGAGGGGACCUAUAGCCUGGUUUUCCGAAACAUGCCUCUGAACCUUACCCCCCAGUUUGGGAAAACAAAAAAAGAGAUGUUUUUAACAUGUUUCCUUAUGUCUAAGAAAGAUGAAUUCAUAAACAAUUUUAUGGCUCCAACCUCUCUUUAUCCCUUCUCAUGGUUUUAGAUACCCAUCGGGUGGUCGAAUCCUUCUCCACCUGGGACUCUGUAUCACAUCACUUUGAGCUCUCAUCACUUUUUGACUUGUCCCUUGUCUUGUAGGAGCUCUAGCUCCCUCUGGUCACCUAUUGUUCUUUGGUUCUCCCCUUUUGUUAGCUCUCUACUUUGGUCUAUCCUAAUGGCGAGAGGUGGCUCCACCUAUAGAUCGUGAGGUAGGAGGGGCAAAUUUGCUUCCUCCAUGGCGCCAAUGGAAGCAGAAGAAUCGGUAGCAAUACGCCCACUAAAAUUCAAGCUGAGAUUAAUUUGGGCAAAGCUAAUACUCAAGUUCAUAGGCAUUUCAAAAGCAUGGACAUCUGUGCAUGGGUCCUAAACAUGGGUUCUUCUCACACCAAGGAAACAAAGUAUUAGGAAACAAUAGAUUUAUAUUCACAAAUGAAAUCUCCCAUAGGCAUUCUUCUUUAAAGCAAUGAUGUGGAGCUUCAAAUCAAACUAGUAGACCAUAAAAUCAGUCUACUCCCCCAAAAAGCUAGCUGGCAUGGUCCAUAUGUUUAAUUUUUCACAUGUGAAGAGUGUUAACUUUUUGGUUUUCUAGCUUGAGAGGUAGCCAGGCUGUGGCCCCUCUUCAUCUUACUUCUCUCAAACUUUAUUACUCUAUCUUUGAUCUUUGGUAUACUUCAUCUUAGUUAUCAACUUAUUAAUCAAACAU